CAGAGGCCGUCCCUUUUCCCAGGGAAGAGUCUUGACAGUUUAGCAAUGGCUUGAAUCAGCAUGCAGUAAGUUGGUCAAAUGUGGCUGAACUCCGUGGUCCCUUAACUGUGAGUUAAAUAUAUUUUUUGUUCCACUGAGUGUUAUUUGAAAAAACAUUUUCCAACAUGCUUCCUGUAGAAUAGGGACUGCCAUUGCCCACAUAUUUAUUUAGCUCACGUAUUGGCAAGCUGAAGUGGAAAAAGCCUUUUCACAGAAGCUG
rnacentral:lncRNA from 1 species